GACGAACGCUGGCGGCGUGCUUAACACAUGCAAGUCGAACGGAAAGGCCCUGCUUUUGUGGGGUGCUCGAGUGGCGAACGGGUGAGUAACACGUGAGUAACCUGCCCUUGACUUUGGGAUAACUUCAGGAAACUGGGGCUAAUACCGGAUAGGAGCUCCUGCUGCAUGGUGGGGGUUGGAAAGUUUCGGCGGUUGGGGAUGGACUCGCGGCUUAUCAGCUUGUUGGUGGGGUAGUGGCUUACCAAGGCUUUGACGGGUAGCCGGCCUGAGAGGGUGACCGGCCACAUUGGGACUGAGGUACGGCCCAGACUCCUACGGGAGGCAGCAGUGGGGAAUAUUGCACAAUGGGCGGAAGCCUGAUGCAGCAACGCCGCGUGAGGGAUGACGGCCUUCGGGUUGUAAACCGCUUUCGCCUGUGACGAAGCGUGAGUGACGGUAAUGGAUAAAGAAGCACCGGCUACCUACGUG
rnacentral:rRNA from 1 species